rnacentral:rRNA from 1 species
GUCUACAGCCAUACCACCCUGAAUGUGCCUGAUCCUGUUGAUCUCAGAAGCUAAAUAGGGUUGGGCCUGGUUAGUAUUUGGAUGGGAGACAGAUCUUAAGAAAAGACUGCUCAGAGACA